CUUGGUGACCUGGAGCUUUUCUGGGCAUCACCAGUGCCUGGUGGAAGGUGCCCUCGAGGCCAGACCACGGGACUUGGUCACCUGCAGUCCCUGUGGAAGGUGCCCUCGCGGCAAUUUUGUAAGAUUUGCCCAACAGGGUUUUUUCCAAGGCGUCUCUCGUGCAAGUUCCCUUGAGACCAGACUGUGGGAUGGCAGGGAGAUGCUUCAGCCUGAUCAGGCUGCUCAGGAGGAAGAAGAACAGGAGAGGCCCUGGGGCGACCCCAGCACAGCAAGCUGAGGAACCUCUGCAACAGGAUCCAGGCCAGGAGCGGACGGAGGAGCAGGAACGCCCCCGUGGCCGCUUCCGCAGAGCAGUUCAGAGGUUGCUGCAAAUCAUGCGC